rnacentral:rRNA from 1 species
UACAGAGGUCUCAACCGUUGUUCGGACUCAUUGGGCGUAAAGGGUGCGUAGGCGGCUCAGUAAGUCGGAUGUGAAAACUCGGGGCUCAACCCCGAGACGCCAUCCGAUACUGCUGUGGCUUGAGUCUGGUAGGGGAACACGGAAUUCCUGGUGUAGCGGUGAAAUGCGCAGAUAUCAGGAGGAACACCGAUGGCGAAGGCAGUGUUCUGGGCCAGUACUGACGCUGAGGAGCGAAAGCGUGGGUAGCAAACAGG